rnacentral:rRNA from 1 species
UACAGAGGUCUCAAGCGUUGUUCGGAAUCACUGGGCGUAAAGGGUGUGUAGGCUGCGUGUUAAGUCAGAUGUGAAAUCCCGGGGCUCAACCUCGGAACUGCAUCCGAUACUGGCAUGCUAGAGAAUUGGAGAGGAGUCUAGAAUUCACGGUGUAGCAGUGAAAUGCGUAGAUAUCGUGAGGAAGACCAGUGGCGAAGGCGAUUCUCUGGGCAGUUCCUGACACUGAGGCACGAAGGCUAGGGGAGCAAACGGG